UACAGUUUUAAAAUCUGUAUCCCAAAACAAAGAUCUCAUCAGAUCUCAGAAGCUAAGCAAGGUUGGGAUUGGUUAGUACUUGGAUGAGAUACUGCUGGGAAUACAGGUGCCACAGUGA
rnacentral:rRNA from 1 species